AGGACGAACGCUGGCGGCGUGCUUAACACAUGCAAGUCGAACGAGGUGCUUCGGCACUUAGUGGCGAACGGGUGAGUAACACGUGAGCAACCUGCCCUUGGCUCUGGGAUAGCCUCCGGAAACGGGGAUUAAUACCGGACAUGACCUUGGUCUGCAUGGACUGAGGUGGAAAGUUUUUCGGCCAGGGAUGGGCUCGCGGCCUAUCAGCUUGUUGGGGGGGUAACGCCCACAAGGCGACGACGGGUA
rnacentral:rRNA from 1 species